rnacentral:rRNA from 1 species
UAAUACUAGCGGUCCAAGUCGCAACCAUUUUUAUUGGGUCUAAAACAUCCGUAGCUUGCUCGGUAAGUUUCUUGUGAAAUCCUGUCUCUCAAAGAUAGGGCGCGCAAGAAAUACUGCCAAGCUAGAGACUGGUAGACGUAAGAAGUACGUUCGAAGUAGCGGUAAAAUGUUUUAAUCUCGAGCGGACUCACAAUAGCGAAGGCAUCUUACGAGAACAGAUCUGACAGUAAGGGAUGAAGGCUAGGGGCGCAAAACGGAUUAGAUGCCCGUGUAGUCCUAGCAGUAAACACUGCACACUAAACAUCAGUACCUCCUCGAGAGGUAUUGGUGCUGCAGCGAAGGCGAAGAGUGUGCUACCUGGGAAGUAUAGUCGCAAGGCCG